UAGGGAAUCUUCCACAAUGGGCGAAAGCCUGAUGGAGCAACGCCGCGUGGGUGAAGAAGGUCUUCGGAUCGUAAAACCCUGUUGUUAGAGAAGAAAGUGCGUGAGAGUAACUGUUCACGUUUCGACGGUAUCUAACCAGAGAGCCACGGCUAACUACGUGCCAGCAGCCGCGGUAAUACGUAGGUGGCAAGCGUUAUCCGGAUUUAUUGGGCGUAAAGGGAACGCAGGCGGUCUUUUAAGUCUGAUGUGAAAGCCUUCGGCUUAACCGGAGUAGUGCAUUGGAAACUGGGAGACUUGAGUGCAGAAGAGGAGAGUGGAACUCCAUGUGUAGCGGUGAAAUGCGUAGAUAUAUGGAAGAACACCAGUGGCGAAAGCGGCUCUCUGGUCUGUAACUGACGCUGAGGUUCGAAAGCGUGGGUAGCAAACAGG
rnacentral:rRNA from 1 species